rnacentral:rRNA from 1 species
CCAGCAAUCCGCCUGAGUUCCUUAAAUGACUCGGCGGGCGGCUUCCGGGAAACCAAAGUUUUUCGGUUCCGGGGGAAGUAUGGUUGCAAAGCUGAAACUUAAAGGAAUUGACGGAAGGGCACCACCAGGAGUGGAGCCUGCGGCUUAAUUUGACUCAACACGGGAAAACUCACCCGGCCCGGACACUAGAAGGAUUGACAGAUUGAGAGCUCUUUCUUGAUUUAGUGGGUGGUGGUGCAUGGCCGUUCUUAGUUGGUGGAGUGAUUUGUCUGGUUAAUUCCGAUAACGAACGAGACUCUAGCCUACUAAAUAGAUAGUCGGCUUACAAACGUCGACUAGACUUCUUAGAGGGACAGGCGGUGAUUCAACCGCACGAAACAGAGCAAUAACAGGUCUGUGAUGCCCUUAGAUGUCCGGGGCCGCACGCGCGCUACACUGAAGUGAUCAGCGUGCAUUAUAAAACCUGCUCUGCCAAGAGUGGGUAACCCAAUGAACCUUCUUCGUGAUUGGGAUAGGGGAUUGUAAUUAUUCCCCUUGAACGAGGAAUUCCCAGUAAGCGCGAGUCAUAAGCUCGCGUUGAUUACGUCCCUGCCCUUUGUACACACCGCCCGUCGCUACUACCGAUUGAAUGAU